UCUGCAGCUGUGACAAGGUGUGUUGUCUGCAGCUGUGACAAGGUGUGUUGUCUGCAGCUGUGACAAGGUGUGUUGUCUGCAGCUGUGACAAGGUGUGUUGUCUGCAGCUGUGACAAGGUGUGUUGUCUGCAGCUGUGACAAGGUGUGUUGUCUCCAGCUGUGACAAGGUGUGUUGUCUCCAGCUGUUCCUCAGUACCUUGCAUAGUGUACCCAACAGCAUUACUGGUUUGUAGUUUAAUGUUAAAUAUUGGAAAUACACCAGCCAUCUUUCAGGUGUAUGGCAGUUCUCUGUAUAGUCUUUCUUGUAGCUGUGAGCAAGAGCCUACAUCUUCCUCCACAGUUGUUGUCUUGUGGGUCUGUUUUUUUUAUGUUCAGUUCCAUCAGAAAUUGCAAGUUCCUUGUUUGUACUUUUCAUAUUUGUCAUUUCUGUGUGAUCUGCCUUAUGCUUAUUUGCAGGCGCUGACUCUUGUUUGAUUGUGAAGAUAUUCACAAGUCUAAUAAAGCUUUUUUCAUACUUAUCAUUUUGCAUAAGUUUUCUAAUUUAUUUUUAAUUCCCCCUCUGAUGAUGAACAAAUUCGAUUUGACCUUUAUUUUAGCUGUUCAAAAAUUGUAUUGUGUACAUGUGUUAUUGCCACAAAUUAUUGCUGGUUUGUUUUUAAAGUAGAGCUAUUCUUGUUUUUUCCCCUUUCUUUAACAAUUCACCAUCACUUAUUCCUUAACUGUCUUUAAAAAAAAAAAAGCACAGACAUUACUGUCCUAAUAAUAUCAAUGCACAACAUACUCAACCAUCCUUCAGAGUGUGUGCUUUAUGUUUCCCACCUCCAGGACUCGUACCCAGUAACUAUAUCCCUGCACCUCUUCGUAACUCUUACCUUCCUUGCACCAACAGUAUGGUAAAUCUCAGACUGCUUGUCUCUGACUCAGGAAAUCGUAAUAACAUGAAUGUGAGCCAACCACGGAAUAAAAAAGAUUCGAACCCAUGGCAAGAAAGUCCUAAAAUUCGCAGGCAUUAGCCACUCAGCCAUGGGUUCAAAUCCCACCCAUUCCAUGGUUUGUCUCCACUCUCUCCAAACUAAUACUCACAUGCCUGCUGGCUAUUAAACCCCUACCUCUCAAAACCUCCUGGUCACAGACUGGGCCACGGGGGACAUUAACCCCUGAAACUCUCUCCAGGUAUACACCUCCUAACCCUCCUUGUCUCCUAAGCAGUAAUAGUUAUUGCUGUUUACCUCUUGUAGCUCCACUCGUUAAAGAAGUGCAUUUUGUAAUAGUUAUUAUCACUUCUGCCACUUAAGGUUACCCCUUUUGUUUACUUCUUGAUGAUUAAUAUAGAUUUCAACCAUCUAUUUCUUUAAUAACCUUUAAACUGUCCAAACAUAGAUCUACGUUCACGUGCAUAGCGCUCCAACCUUUGUUCUCUCCAUUUGAAAGAUGUAAAAAAAAAAAGUAGAUCUAUGUUCGGAGCGCUACGCACGUAAACAUAGAUCUACGUUUGGACAGUUUAACCCUUAAACGGUCCAAACAGAUCGACGUUCAAAUUCGUAGCUACAAAAGUAGAUCUACUUUUUUUUUACAUAUUUUCAAAUAUAACAAAAAAAAACAGUAAAUAAAAGUUUUUUUUACACGUUUUCAAAUGUAAAACAAAAAAAAAGAUUACAUUUUUUUACAUACUUUCAGAUGUUGAAAAAACGUACAGUGGACCCCCGCAUAACGAUUACCUCCGAAUGCGACCAAUUAUGUAAGUGUAUUUAUGUAAGUGCGUUUGUACGUGUAUGUUUGGGGGUCUGAAAUGGACUAAUCUACUUCACAAUAUUCCUUAUGGGAAUAAAUUCAGUCAGUACUGGCACCUGAACAUACUUCUGGAGUGAAAAAAUAUCGUUAACAGGGGGUCCACUGUAUAUACACGUUUGGACCGUUUAAGGGUUAAAGACUCUCAUGAACUUAAAGGGGGUUAUAAUGUAACUUCCUCUUUGUCUUCCACCUUGGAUGUAUUGUUUUUACAUAUUAAUUCUGAGAUCUAUUUUCUUGUAAAUCAUUGUUGAAUCUUUCUCUGCUUUUCGUUCCUUUAUAUAUGGGUACUAUACAGCAGCUGCAUUUUUUUAUAUACAGUGGAACCUCAAAUAUCGAACUUUCUUCGGUCCAGAAAGCUAUUUGAGUGCCUUUACCGAACGAAUUUAUUCCCAUCAGGAAUAAUGUAAAUUAGAUUAGUCCAUUUCAAACCCUCAAAAAAACACUUAUAAAAGCACUUAAAAAAUACACUUACAUAAUUGGUCGUGUUGGGAGCAGUUCGAUUUUUGAGGUUCCACUGUAUCUUAAAACAAUGAGUAAGACACAUUUGUGAAAGUUGGUUAUCUUUAUUGUUGGCUGAAACCUUUGGUCAGUUAAAUACAGAAGCAGCAACUUGGUCAUGGAGAAAAAGUUUUUGAGGUGGUCAGUCCCUGAGGUUGGCCUGAGGGACUGACCACUUCAGAAACUAUUUCUCCAAGGUUGAUUGGCUGUUUACAUCACCUUUACUCCACUACCAUUCCAGCUGCCUCUGUAUUUAACUGAAGAAGUCUACUGUGUAACUAACUGUUGCACAAGUGCCUUAGUCAUCGGUAUUUCUUUACCACUUUCAACACACAUUUCCUUAAAUGUUGACAUGAUACCACAGCUGCAUUUUCUACUUUCUUCAAAUGUAGGCACUGUUGAGCAGAUUCAUUUACUAAUAGUUGUAUGAGAAUGGACACUUGUGAACAGUUCAGGACAUUGUAAUCAGUGUCCUGGACUGUACAUAAGUGUCCUUACUGCACAGUUUGUCAAUAUCAGUGAUCCACUUACAACCAGGCUAUUGUUUCUUCAAACAAGUACAACAGCUGCAUUUUUUAAUUUGAGUCUGACUCUUGCAACAAACUGGCAGUAUCCCACCUAGGCAGGGUGGCCCAAAAAGAAAAAAACGAAAGUUUAUCUUUUUCACCUUAUUAAUAUAUACAGAAGGGGUUACUAGCACCUUGGUCUCGGCAUUUUAGUCACCUCUUACGACACUCGUGGCUUAAGGAGGAAGAAUUCUAUUCGACUUCCCCAUGGAAAUUUGAGUCUGAUGUGGGAGGUAAAUAAAAGCGCCCUUCUGUUAGGUACAUACAUAUCCAACCAUAUGCUAAAGGCUAUUUUAACAUUGGAUGAUAAUUUAACCCUUUACCAGGCCUUUAAUACCUUGGCUGUUUUAUUUAUGGGCUUUUGGUGACUAUUUUUUUUUGUUAUCCCAGUAUUCUUCUCUUUGUCAAAUGCUUUUAAUAAUGUGUAUUUUGUGAUUUUAUGGAGCCUGUCUUUGCUUGUACUGUACCCAGCUACAUCACAUGGCACUUGACCACUUAAAAAAAAUCCCUCAUUCUAUCUCUUAAAAAAAUCCUGCAUUCUAUCUCAAAAAAAAAUCCCUCAUCCCAUCUCUUAAAAAAAAUUCCCUCAUCCUCUCUUAAAAAAAAUCCUUCAUCCCAUCUCUUAAAAAAAUCCCACAUUCUAUCUCAAAAAAAAAAUCCCUCAUUCCAUCUGUUAAGUAUAUACGUACUUGAAUGGUAUGAAUUGGCUAGAAGAAUGACACAGUACUGUGGCUGGAAAAAUUUACAAAUUUAAUAAGUACUCUUAUAAAUCUCCAUUACAUAGUAUUGUUUUUUCCAAAUGUUGAGAAAGUUGAUAAGUGAAAUGCAUCUAAAACUGAGUACUUAGGUUAGGUUUGUCAGGAAACAGGACAAGUGUUUCCUGACACGGGUCUUAGUCAUAUGAGGACCUGUAGCCGGAGCUUUUGGUACAUCUGACCAAGGCCUUCCACUGGCUUACCACUCCACCACUUCAGAAAUUAAUGGUUAUAAUUAUAACCUUGGUAAUUGAGUAGUGCCUUCAUUGUAUGUCCUGUUAAAUUCUGAAUGCACUUUUUUUAAUUGCAGCUACAGAAAUUACACUACAUUGGAGCUUUAAAAGAGAGCUUAAUGUGACCCCCCACAUUUAAGCUUAUACCAAUGUUGUGGUCCAUGCUGGACCAUUGUUAAGUUACUAUCGGGUCUUUACAAUGGUCCAGGAUGCACCAAAACAUUGUCGUAAGUUUUCUCACCUGAGUGCGAGAUGUGUGUGAAUAUGAGGUAUCUUUUAACAUAAUGGUGAUGGAUCCACUAUAUAGAGUAGAAGUCUACUCUAUAUAGUGGAUCCAUCAUCCAUCCAUAUAUAGAGUAGAAGUCUACUCUAUAUAGUGGAUCUUCACAAUAAAGCUGUGUUUUCUUAAUUUGCUAUGACUCUGUUGGGUGUUUUUCUGUUUGUGGCGCUUGUUGUGACCCCUUCCGUAGUAAUGAAUCUGUCAACUUUGUAUGGCACCAACAUUUUUUUAUAUGUUGUGAUUAUAUCAUCUCUUAUGCUUUCUUCCAGAGACAUGAAAACACAGUGUGUGUAGUUGUGUUUGUAUGGUUGUUUCUAUGUGUGGUUUGUGUGUGUGUGUGUGGUUAGUUGUAUUUGUGUGCAUGGUUGUUUGUAUUUGUGUGUGUGGCUGUUUGUGUAUGUGUGGUUAUGUUUGUGUGUGAUUGUGUACUCACCUAUUUGUGGUUGUAGAGGUCGAUUCUUAGCUCCUAGCCCCACCUCUUACUCUUAGAACUGUGUAUGGAUCCUGCCUCCACUUCCUCAUAGGGAUCAUUCCACUUCCUGACUACUGAGACUAAAGAAAUACUUCCUGACAUCCCUGUGGCUCAUCUGUGUCUUUAACUUUGAGGUGUGCACCUGAGUGCCCAUUUCUUGCCUCUCAAAUAUUUUGUCCCUGUCUAUAUCAAUUUCCCUUCGUAUUUUAUAUGUUAUGUCUCUCCUGGUUCUUCUAUCCUCUGUAUUAAAUUAAAUUCCAUUAGUCUCUACUCACAGCUCAUGUCCCUUCAUUCAGGAACAAGCCUUUUAUGUGUGUGUACAGACAUACCUGUAUGUGGUUGCAGGGGUCAAGUCACAGCUCCUGGCCCCACCUGUUCACUGGUCGCUACUAGCUCCAUUCUCUCUCCCAGCUCCAAGAGCCUUAUUGCACCUCUUCUUACAGCUUUGUAUGCAUCCUACCUCUGCUACUUCAUUCUCUAGAUUGUUCCACUUCCUGACAACUCUAAGGCUAAAAAAAAUACUUUCAAAGAUACCUAUGACUUAUCUGAGUUGUCAGCUUCCAGUUGUGUCCUCUUGUGUAUGUGGGGGGGGGGAUGGAUGUUGUGGUACGUGUGAGGUAGUCGGAUUGUGUUUUAUUUGUUGUUUUAUAUAUUCAGUGUGUAUGGGACUAUGUAUAUAUAAAAUGUAUAUUUAUAUAUAACCAUCAUGAAUUUAUCACACAAAAAUGGAGGAAUUUUCUUGGCUCACAUCACUAGAAAAGUGAUAGGUUGGGUAAGAAGACCUAGGCAAAUAAGAAAUACCAAUCUAGGAAUAAUACUUUUUAAGUUACUUGUAUGACUGCACUUCAGUCAUACUUCCUUCAUCAGUCCUCACAGCCCUUUCUAACUCUACCUCUGUUAUCCUCUCCACCUUUGGCUACUCUGUGAUCCAGCACCCCCCCCCCCCCCCGUUCCCCUACCCUCUAGCAAUGUAUAGCCAUAGUGGGUUUGGCACUUGGUUUUGAUUAUAAUAAUAAUUGUAUGAUGGCAUUGUUGCUGCAUAGAGCCUGGUUAUAACUGUAACCAUAAUUUUUAAAGGGGUGGACCGGUAAGCCAGUGGAAGGCCUCGGUCAGAUGACCAAAAGCUCGAACAGCAGGUCAUCAUCUGACUAAGACCCAUGUCAAGAAACACUUGUUCAGUUUCCUGAUGAACCUAACCUAGCCUAAGCCCCAUUUAACCCUGAAACCGGGAAUGACACUCCUAAGCAUAUUAAUUUUAGCAGAAAUUUUGGAAGUGAGAUGCGGUGCAAAUUACAUCAGGUGAACAUCUUGGGGUCUUAUACACAGGAUUUACUUUCGGUAAAAUAAAUUUUUGUGUGCCCCGUGAAAUAUCAGGGACGGUAUUUAGUAAUAAAGUUUGAGUCAUGGUAUAAGGACACUAUGGGAGGAGAGACCUGUCGUUAUAUAAUAGUACAGUAUUCCAGAUACAGUGGUACCCAGAGUUUCGUACAGCUCCCAACUCUAACAAUUAUGUAAAUGUAUUGUUGUAAGUGGUUUUGUAAGUGUAUUUUUGGGGGUCUGAAACGGACUAAUCUAUUUACAUUAUUUCGUAUGGGAACAAAUUCGUUCGGUAACGGCACUCAAACAGCCUUCUGGAAUGAAUUUUGUUCGAAACUCUGGGUACCACUAUAUUAGUGAUAUCAAUACCAGUGGUGAUAUAUGCAGAUGUUAGGUUUUGAUGAUAGACACAAAUGAUUAUGCACACACCUGGAUCCUCCCAUUAUAGAUAUCAGAGUGCUAAACCAGUGAUGAUAUCCACAACAAAUAACUGUACUUACGUAGGCUAGUGAAGAAAAGCAGAAUCUUAGAGUCCCUUUCCGUGUCCUAGCAGUAGGUCCAAAGUUGCUUAGCUUGCAAAACAAUUUGACUCACGAAAUCGUAAUGACACGAUUGCAAACAAACCAUACCAUGGGCGGGAUUGAACCCGCGGUCAGAGAGUCUUAUUGUGGCUAGCUGGUCUAGUGGGUAACGCGACGGUCUGGAGUUUUGAGACUCUCUGACCGCGGGUUCAAUCCCGCCCGUGGUAUGGUUUGCAAAACAAUUGUUUCUCAUGUGAUAAAACAUCACUUCAUUGAUGCAUACAUUUGUGAGGAGUUUAAUUGUGUAAACAUGGUUCAUUGUGCAACUACAUGACGGUAAUGUCAGUGUGUUGUGCUGUCACAGCUUAAGAAACCUUAGGGAGCACCACACUGUAACACCCAAAACGAUGAUAAAUUUACAUACAUUAUUUAAUGUACAGGUGGGCCCCGUUUUACAAUACUCUGUUUUGUUGCGUUUCGCUAAUGCAGUGGUUUUUUAGUUAAACCUUUUUUUCAUUGACUUCUUACAAUAAGUAUAUUCACCACACUUUAAGCGAAGGACAAAAUAUUUUAAGGUAAAUAAUGUAUGUACUAAAUAACAAAAAGGCACAAUACCGUGACUGGAACGAUACACAAAUAACCCGCACAUAAAAGAGAGAAGCUUACGACGACGUUUCAGUCCGACUUGGACUAUUGACUAUAUGUGCAUUUUUUAGGCCUAGCUUUAUUGCUCACUUAAUACAGUGGUACCACAAGUUUCGAACAGCUCCCAACUCGAAAUAUUAUGUAAGUGCUUUUGUAAGUGUAUUUUUGGGGGUCUGAAAUGGACUAAUCUAACUUACAUUAUUCCUUAUGGGAACAAAUUCAUUCGGUAUUGGCACUCGAACAGCCUUCUGGAACGAAUUAAGUUCGUAACUCGAGGUACCAAUGUACAUAUAUGAUAGUGUAAACAUGUUAUCGGGCUUUUAUAUGCAUUUGAAAGUGACAAAAAAGUUAGGUUUCACCUUGGUGAUUUUUCGCUUUACAGGGGAUAGCUCGGAACCUAACCUGCUGUAUAAGUGGGCCUGCCUGAAUAAAGAUAGAGGUGAAUGGAGACAUAAUUUUUAAUAGACAUGAUGUUGGAGCAUGAAGAAAUUUAGGAAAACCAGUUAGCCAGAUUUGAGUCCUGGAGGUGGGGAGUACAAUGAAGGGUGAGGAUGCUGCAGUCUGUGGCAAGUAUUCCAAGCUGUGAUGUCAGCAUACUUCUGGCUAGACAACAAUUGAAUGAAAGAUGGUGAAUGUGUUUUCUUCUUUGGGUCACCUUUAGCAGGAAAUGGCCAUCAAGGAACCAAAAAAAAAAAGAAGUUUGAUGUCUGUAAAAGCAAAUACAAAUAGUAUUUAAACAGCAUAAUAAAUACAUAUCUGGGUGCUAUGUGUAUUACGUCAGUCAUUGUCACAAAGCAUUAGGACUGCAGCAUAUUCACUUGACACUGGUACUGUACUAACAUUUUUUUACCGAUCAUAGAAAUUUUAUUUUGCUUAACUUUUUCGAGAUGGCUCACGAAAUCGUAAUGACACGAUUGCAAACAAACCAUACCACGGAGUUUCGAGACUCUCUGAACGUGGGUUCAAUCCCACCCUGCCCAAAGGGAGUAGGGAUUUUGUUCCCCACAGAUUGCAGCUUAAGGGCUAAGACUUGGAAAAUUUCUGACCUAGAGAACGUGCAAGGAGCACUACUGAUAGCACUGAUUAAAUUCGUUAAUUAUGAACACCUUAAAUUCCUCAAAUUACACUCUGAAGCACAGGAAAGAAAGUUGCAUUAUAAUUUACCUGGAGAGAGUUCCGGGGGUCAACGCCCCCGCGGCCCGGUCUGUGACCAGGCCUCCUUAGGUCAGUGUCCCAGGAUGCGACCCACACCAGUCGACUAACACCCAGGUACCCAUUUUACUGAUGGGGAACAUAGACAACAUGUUGAAAGAAACACGUCCAAUGUUUCUACUCUGGCUGGGAAUCGAACCCAGGCCCUCACCGUGUGAAGCGAGAGCGUUAACCACCAGACCACCAGAACAUUCUAUGUUCUAUAGAGUUCUAUAGAGAUGGUGUCCAAUUUUACAUUCUGAAAUAACUCCUUUUUAAAGGAACACAAAACAUUGUGGACAGUUAGAACAAGUAGAAUAAGAGGGAGGGAUGCAAUAAGAGAUAACUAGAAAUAUGUGUUAUCCAUUCCUUUAAAUAUAACUAAGUUUUUUGCAAAUCAUUCCUAAUUAGUCUGGCUGUGGUGACGUUUUACCCUUAUAGGUUUAGCGUUUCUUUUUUAUUAUAAUAUUGUGGCUGAUGAGCACCAACAAUUUGAUCUGAUCAGGUCAUUAACUCCCCCUAGUCCAGCACCAGGCUGCAGGGAAUUAAAGAAAUUAUAACCAAAAACCAAUCCCAAAGUUCACUGGAUUAAGACAUCACUGUUGUCCCAGAUUGGAAUUUUACGUAUUGUAACUUUUAAUGACAGUUCAGGUUUACAUGGAGUUUACCUGGAGAGAGUUCUGGGGGUCAACGCCCCCACGGCCCGGUCUGUGACCAGGCCUAAUACAGUGGUACCUCGGGAUACGAACAGCUCAAAACACGAACAAUUAUGUAAUUCUAUUUAUGUAAGUGCUUUUGUUAGUGUAUUUUUGGGGGUCUGAAAUAGAUUAAUCUAAUUUAUAUUAUUCCUUAUGGGAACAAAUUCGUUCGGUAUCAGCACUCGAAUAGCCUUCUGGAGCGAAUUAAGUUCGUAUACCGAGGUACCACUGUAAUGUUAGGUAAAUAGACACAGAUGCAACUAAUGUGACAUUUCAUUGUAGCAACAUUUUGCUCUCCAGGUAAUGGCUUUACGAAGCUCCUGGAGAACAAAACGUUGCCACAAUAAAAUGCCAUAUUAGUUGCAUCUAUUCAUUUACCUAUCCAGUAAUUACCUGUUUGUGAUUAUAUUACUAUUGGAAGGUAUAGGAACUUAGCCUGUGGUGCGUCGUUUUAUGUAUUUAGUGAAAAUUUUGAUUUAGUGCAGAAUUAUGCUAGUUCCCCCCAUCCCCCAAACUCUUCAAAUCAUGCACAAAAAAAAAGUUACACAUUAGAAUAGUGCAAAUUUUUGAAUAAUGCGACCACUUGGUGGGAUUCGUUAUUCACACUAAUCGAAACCCCUAGCUGUAGUAUUUUAUGUUCCCAGUGGUUGUAGCACUUAUUACCUCUUGUAACUUAUUCCAUUUUUCUCCCUCCAUUUGAAAACUUUCCAGUAGAGGAAUCCUCUUUUUCCUCCACUAGAAGCUUUGCAGUGCAGGAUUAUUAUUUUUUUUUUUUUUUAAUGGCUAUGGCUUCUUGAUCUCUUGUUGGUGUUAGUAAAUCUCGUGUAUCAUUUUUUCAUAUUGUUUUAUAAUUUUAUAUGGCUACAUGCUUCUCUUUUCCUAUUGGCCAGUGAGAGUAUGUCUCGCGUCCCUAAAUUCCCAAACUACCAUCCCAUUGGACGUUGAGUGAACAUGAUAACAUAACAUCAAAGAUAUGAAGGUGAUAUCAUGUUUUUUAUGUGUAGUUAAGGCCCAUCAAAUUCCUCUUUCAUUACAACUCCUUCUUCAACAAACUGGCUGUAUCCCACUGAGGCAGGGUGACCUAAAAAGAAAAGCAAAACUUUAUCCUUUUAAAUUUAGUAAUGUAUACAAGAGAAGGGGUUACUAUCCUCUUGCUUCUUUUGUUACAUUUGUAGAUGUGAAAUUGUAAUUUGAAAUGACAGGAACGUUGGGACAUUCAGAGUCAAGUUAAAUGUGCGCUUCAUAUAAGUGUUUGGCUGCAGUUAAUUUUAACCCUUAAACGGUCCAAACAUAUAUAUACGUUCACCUGCGCAGCGCCCCGAAUAUUUUGAGAAAAAAAAAACAAUCUUUUUUUUUUAUAGGAAAAAAGAGCAUGUGGUACCCAGGCGUCCCCAAUUUUUUUCAUAUGGCGCACACUGAGUGCGCACACCCAUUCUCUCAUGUCUGGGCGACUCAGGCCUAUCGUGCCAAUGUUGAAUAAAUCACAAAUGAAAUGUAUAUACAUGUGUAUACGUUUGGAGCACUACGCAAGAGAACGUAUAUAUAUGUUUGGACCGUUUAAGGGUUAAUUCUUGCAUUGCAAGGUAGCAAAUUUGUCCCAUGUUGAGUGAAUCGGUGGUUUGGGCCCUCAGAAUUCCUCCUGGUUGAUAUAUACAGCAUAUACCAACAGUACAUACACAGUGCAGCUUUAUAAUUUGCAGAUAGCUUAAAUGUUAUGUUUUGAACUCAAGCAGUGAAUGUUGUCAGAUCACGGAGGAAAAUGUGCAUGCAUUACGAUUAUCACAUUCUUGAAUCAGUUCAUUCUACACACACUCAUGUUUUCCCUCCACCUUGAAGGUGCGACCCCACACCUUCAUUACUCCUCUGUUUUCCUUUUACCUGAUUUUUAUUAUAUUUCAAAACGUGAUGUUCAAAACCCCUGUGGGUUGUACAGUACUGCAAAUGCUUUGACCUGAAGUGUAAGAAAUUGGGUACUUAAAAGAGAUAUUUUGCAAUUUUUGUUGUUGAUAAAUAUCUUAAUUAUCUUUAUUGUUGAUGAAUUAGACACAUGUGCAACAUCUGGGUAUCUUUACUUGUAGACAUUUUGCCAUCUAGUGACUAUCGAUAUACAUGCAUAAGGUAAUCAGUCCCUCAGCCUAGGCUGAGGGACUGAUUACCUUAUCUUCCACUGUCUGCUGUAUAUAUUUCUACAGUCUUCAUUUUAUGUCCAUGUAAUGAAUUGAUAAAGCCACUAGAUGGCGAAAUGUCUGCAGGUUAUGAUACCCGGAUGUUGCACACGUCAUAAUUCGUCAUCUUGUCGGUAUUGAAUACCACUGUUACACAUCUUAAUUGUUAUUGUUUUUAUUAUAUUUGUUAAUUAGAAUGUUCUUUGCAUGUCCCGAUGAUUGUUAAUACCUUCAGUAAGAUGCAUAAACCCAGUGAAUGAACAUAACUGUAGUUUAGAAUUUAAAACCCAUUGACUGUCUCAUAAACCAUUUCUAAACUACUAGGAUUGGCAAAUUAGAUUUUGCCAUUGAUAAAUACAAGUAACCCAAUAAAAAUGGACAACUAAAUACCCUCUUAGAUAACAGUGGUAAUUUCCAGUUAACAAGUAACUUGUGAGUCUGACACCAUGUUGUAAAACUUCCGUCAUCCGUAUUGUGUAUAUCGAAGCUGUAUGACCCAGUCUUCAUAGACCUCUGAUCUCAGAUAAAUGUCAUAUCCUCCUCUGUAGUUCCUGAUAUGCGGAAAGCCGAGUACUUACCAAACGAUUGUCCCAAUAGACCUAGUACUUACUAAACUAUUGUCCCAGUAGUAUUAAAUAUGUAUUGAUCUUUCCUGGAAAGACCCAUUUCCUCAUGACUUUGCCCGAAUUGAAUUCUUGUGAUUUCCCAUGUAAUUUAGCCAAUCAAAACCAUACAUGAAUUUUUAAGAUUAGAUGGUUAUUUUUAAUAAAUUUAAUUUAGUUAUUGCUAGAUGAUAAUUUCUUUGAAUGUGGUAUGGGCACAUUUUUUUUUUUAAAUAUUUUAGUUAGCCAUUGUUUUUUUUCAUAUUGUGAUGUUAUGUCUUGUAAAAUGAAAUGAACAUAAGAUUAAUGAAACAUUAAACAGACAUAUUAAUGCAUGUUGAUUUUCAUGAUUAAAAAAUCUUGCUUAAAAAUUUAAGUGAUUUUAGUAUUGAUAAAAAAUAUGGAUCUCUAACACUUAAGAUUAUUAUUAUAGUCAAGUAGUUAAAAUCAAAGACAAAAUUAUCAUGAUUAAGGAGUCAAAAUAAAAUGCAGAAUUGUCUAGCGGAUGUUUCUAACGUAUGCAGUGACGUUUUAAAUGUUAUUGAUGUAUUGACAUGUCCAGCAUUAUUGCUGCAGUGAUGCAGUGACAUGUCAAGCAUUACUGAUUCAGUAUCAUUGCAAGCAUUAUUGCUGCACUGAUGCAGUGACAGGUCAAACUUUACUAAUCCAUUGAAAUCACAAGCGUCACACGCACUAGCAUUUCAAACGUUGCUGAUCUAUUGACCACUGUAGCACGUGUGACGGUGAGUGUAAUGUAUGUCAGGGGAAACCUCCGCAUGGCGGCUAAUGACAGAUAGCAGAAAUAAUCAACGGCAAAAAAUGUUCCCUUACCCUCAGAGCAAUUUUGACUUACCUAUGGGGUAGCAAGUGUCUUAGUGCAAGACCCACCACUAAUAUAUCUAGUAUGCUUGAAAUAUUCGUAUUAUGGGAUAUUUGGACAAGGAAAUGAAUUAUGACAGCUUAUUAUUUAUUUUAAUAAUUAGUGGUUUACUAAUUUAAUUAAAAUAUUGUUGCUUAUUGCAUUCUAAUUUUAUAGUGAUUAAUCAUUUAAAUAAUGGUUGCUUUGCAUAUAGUUGUGUCUUCGGAAUCUGAAGACCUGUUAUUUUUAAUAAAAGUAAGAGCUUA